rnacentral:rRNA from 1 species
AGUGAACGCUGGCGGUAGGCCUAACACAUGCAAGUCGAACGGCAGCACAGUAAGAGCUUGCUCUUACGGGUGGCGAGUGGCGGACGGGUGAGGAAUACAUCGGAAUCUACUUUUUCGUGGGGGAUAACGUAGAGAAACUUACGCUAAUACCGCAUACGACCUACGGGUGAAAGCAGGGGAUCUUCGGACCUUGCGCGAUUGAAUGAGCCGAUGUCGGAUUAGCUAGUUGGCGGGGUAAAGGCCCACCAAGGCGACGAUCCGUAGCUGGUCUGAGAGGAUGAUCAGCCACACUGGAACUGAGACACGGUCCAGACUCCUACGGGAGGCAGCAGUGGGGAAUAUUGGACAAAGGGCGCAAGCCUGAUCCAGCCAUACCGCGUGGGUGAAGAAGGCCUUCGGGUUGUAAAGCCCUUUUGUUGGGAAAGAAAAGCAGCAGGUUAAUACCCCGCUGUUCUGACGGUACCCAAAGAAUAAGCACCGGCUAACUUCGUG